rnacentral:rRNA from 1 species
GAUGAACGCUGGCGGCGUGCCUAAUACAUGCAAGUCGAGCGAAUUGACAGAGGUGCUUGCACCUCUCGAUUUUAGCGGCGGACGGGUGAGUAACACGUGGGUACCCUCCCUAUAAGACUGGGAUACUUUCGGGAAACCGGAGAUAAUACCGGAUAAUAUUUAGCUUCGCAUGAAGCAAUAGUGAAAGACGGUUCUGCUGUCCAUUACUGACGGACCUGCGGUGUAUUAGCUAGUUGGUGAGGUAAAGGCUCACCAAGGCAACGAUACAUAGGCGACCGGAGAGUGUGAUCGGCCACACUGGGACUGAGACACGGCCCAGACUCCUACGGGAGGCAGCAGUAGGGAAUCUUCCGCAAUGGACGAAAGUCUGACGGAGCAACGCCGCGUGAGUGAAGAAGGUUUUCGGAUCGUAAAACUCUGUUGUAAGGGAAGAACAAGUACGUUAGUAACUGAACGUACCUUGACGGUACCUUACCAGAAAGCCACGGCUAACUACGUGCCAGCCGCCGCCGUAAAAC